GGGAACAAAAGAUAUUUUUUAUAUGAGGAGUGUUUCUGUUAAACCUAUGAUGCAGGACUGACGUGACUCACCUCCCUGUAGUAGAUAUGUGACAGGUGAGGAGCACCAGGAUGAAUCCAGUGUUUCUCCACAGCAUAUGUGUGAGUAUGACAGUAAGGUCUAACCUGUUUGCGAGCCCAUGACAAAAGACAGACCUGCACAUUCUAACCAUGAGCAGCCUACACUUUUGCGUGAAAAAGAUAGUUGGUGGUUUUUAAUAUUAAAAUGAUAGCUUAGCUCUCUUGAAGUCUUAUCAGCACAGAUACAGAGCAUGCCAUUCUUUACUGCAGCACAGCCAAAGUAAACUACCCCAGUGCCAUAUCAAGUUGUGCAAAGGGAGUGGAAAAUGCUCUGAUGUGGAGUGGGAAAUGCUGUGGCACGGUAGGUUUACCCAGUGCAAAUGGCUGGUUGCCAGUAAAGGAGGAACCGACUCUUACACGGAGGCAGAACAUACCCUAAUGGUAGCAAACAAAGAACACAAUUUGGAAAUAUGUGACCUAGGGUUUAUGAAGAUCUGAGUACGUGUAGAUGUGGAAAGUAAUUUUUUUUUGAAGGCAAAUAUGUGAAAGGUAAUGAGAAUUUCUGUACCUGCUGGUGUAACAAGCCGGCCACAAUGUCAGGUUUUAGUAUAGUGAAGUAGCAGCCCCCUGAGAAUACGUGCAGCCUUUUAUCACUUCACCAAUACAUUUAUCUUUCUCAAGGCAAUGCAAACAUCAGAGCACACGCUCGGUUUUGCUCUGUAACAACGCCAACAUCACAGAGGAGCGUAUCCAUGCAAAAUCUUUAUUUGGAGAAUGUCUCCUGUGGGACAGCAGCACCCCUCCAGUUUACAUGUAAGCACAGAAGCACGGUAUUUGCAUUGUGCAGAAAAAAAUACAAAGAAAAUUCUUAAAAUGCAUUCAUCUUCUGACAUAAUAUGAAUACUAUUGAAAUUGCUUGCCUCCAUUUUCUCUUUAUCCCUCCAGCUCUCUGCCCUUGGGCUACCUAGAGCAGAAAGCUGUGGAAAUGAGCUAGUAUUAGUUUUGGAGAUAGGCCACAGUAUCUUGAAAGUCAGUAUGGAGAUUUAUCUGCAAUGUGUAAGGAAAAAGACAUGAGGAUACUCUGUCUGUUUUCCUUACAGGUUAGGAAUAGCUUUUGGAAUGGUUCUGAUUAUUUUCUCUGCCAGUCCAGAUCUAGAAGGAAGGCUGAGAUUGCUGCUGUUCGUGGUGGAAAGUUCCUCCUUCGUUUUAUAAUCUGUAUGUUAUUGUGGUUUCUCUUGGCUGGGAAAUUUCGUUUUUAUUUCUAAUCUCAGCCAUGUGUCAGUCAAUUCUGACUUCACCCCUCUCCCUGCUGAGCAGCUCUGCAAGCCAUAUUGCAAACAUAUUUUUCAGCAUGGGUGGGAGGUAGCAUUGUGGUUUGGGGCUUUGCUAUUGAUAUCAGGAUUUCCAUUUUUCUUUGUUUCAAACAUUUUUUCCUUUAAAAAUAGAGUUGAUGGUAAACAGCUUUCGUUUAGUUCCCAGGGGGAGGUGGAGCGAACACUUUUUCAUGCAAGUUUGAAUGAAAACAUGAAGUCACACUUUCCCAACUUUUCUAAUGGAUUCAAUGAUAUAAUCAUCGUCUCAUGAAAUUUCCAGCUCCAUUCUUUACUGGGACUGUGCAGAAGUAAAGAAGUUUAAACUCCGUGGUCUACACCUGUAAGUAAAUCUCACUCCAGUAAAUUAGGACUGCAGCAUCAUGGCUUAUUGCCAGGGGAAUGAAAUUAGGGGGGUGUUUGAUCCUUAACCAAGAAAAUAUCAGUGUCCUGCAAAAGGACAGCUUUACAGAAAACAUUCAAAAGGCCAACAAUUAAAAAGGCUCACUUACUUCAUCUGAUGGCUCCUGUCAAGUAAAGAUGUGCUUCUCAGAUACACUUGCCUCAAUCAGAUUGUGAGCUUGGACGAAAUGCCUACCUUGCAAUUGCAAGAACUUCUGCCAUUUAAAAUGCAAGAACAUCUCACUUUUACUUUUCUCCCAAUCACUUUUCUUCUGAAAAGGGGCAGAGAAGGAAAUAUCAACAUUUUAACCAACCAGAAAAUCCACUGUUAUAAAACUAACAUUCAGCUGGCUGUCCGUGUGCUAAAGGCAACAGAGUAUUGACCCAAGAUACUAAUAUUGAUUUAUGAUACUAAACAGAAAUAUUUCACUAAAUUCAAAUAUUUAUAUAAAUAAGCUUUAUGGGACUGGUUAUUUUCAAAGGGUGCAUGCUUGACAGAUUAAUUUUAUUACUUGACCACUUUAAGCACAUAUUGUCCUUUAUUUAUUUUUUCUUUCCCAGCAGUUGUUGGCUGUUUCAGUGUAUAGAAUAUCUGCUCCCACCAUCCUUUCAUUUUUACAUGUUCCAUCAGGAGCAGAGUCGAGGAAACUCGAUGGGUUUGAUGCAGUAUGCAGUUGUUUGCAGUAAAGACUAAUCUGUGGUAUGAAACACAACAGUCUUUCUUAUGCCUAAGGAAAGCUUUGUUGAGUUAGUAGCUGAGAAGUGAUGCUUGUUCAGGCCUACUGCUGGGCAUUUCAACUACCAAUGAUUGUGAGUCACGCGAAGGGAUUUCCCUCCUUUGCCUCUCUCAUCCCACCCUAUCUGGCUGUGAUGACAGUGGGAUUUCGGAGACGGGAGCAUUUCUCAGAGCACACUUCUGUCUAGUUCAAAAAUGCCUCUAGCAAGGACUAGGGUGGGAUCAGAGAAUAGUGGCUCUUCCUGCAGACAAACUCCUAACUCGUGCUCAGGGGAACCGCACGAGGGAGCACUUUCACCUUCAAAAAAUUACAUUCCCAUCAGGGAGUCCCCGAGUACCUUCUCGCUUUGCACCUCUCCUCUGCAAAGCCAAAGGGGCUUGCUUUUCUCGCUCAGCAUCUGCGAGCAAUGCUGGAGACUGGUGACUUCUUUCUCAGACAGAAGAUGAGAGCCUCAGGCUGCGCGCUCACCGGGUACCUUCCUGGCACCAGAGCUGGUACCGUAGCACAGCCACCGAGUGCUGCUAUCUCACUAACCCUGUAAAUUGGCUAUUUCAACAGGGUAAAUAGAAGGAGAUGGCAGGUCCUAUUUAGCUAUCUAUCCCCAGAGGAGUUUCCCCAUGAAAUAUUUUAAAUAUACUAACCUGUGCUCUGUUUUUUUCUUUUUUUCUGGGAAUGCUUGUGAAACCAGUAUCAUCCCAUCUGACCGCUUGUCAUCCAGCCCCACCAUCCCCAGCUGCAGCAGUACAGCAACAGCACAAGCUGGAUACCCAACCCCUAACAACGUGCUUUUUGAGGAACUAGCUCUGCUCUUCCUCCUGGAAAUAAACACACACACACAGUUCUUCACUGCUGCUCUGCAGUCACACCACUGCGCUGCAGGAGACCCUAGGAACAGGCUCCACAUCCUCCUCCUCCUCCUCUGCAUCCACUCAGCCCUGAGCUCCUGCCCUUGCCAUUGCCAGUGACAGCUGUUGCCAUGACAGCUUUAUUGAAACAGGCACUGAAAGUCACCAUUAACUAUCUUUUAACUACAUCUGGAGCAGAAGGAGCUUUCUGAUGACUCUUUGCAACUGGCAAAAGGCUUCUGGAAAGGUGUUCAUCUAUGGUAUCAUCCCCCAGGCCCAUUCAGAUAGCUGAUAUGGCACAGGUGCCAUAGAAACACUAAGUCAUAGUCACUCCUACGUCAUUGUAGGAAAUAUCUAGUGUGGUUAGACUAACACACCAUGUUUAAAGCAGUACUAACUCUAGUCUUCCAUCCAUUGGUCAGUCACAUUACUGCGAAAUAAAGCUUAUUAAUGUUUUAGGUUUUAAUUUCUUAUUGUUGGCCAGUAAAACCAAUUCUUCCUAUUGCUUUUUUUUUCUUUUUUUUAAGGUCUUGGCUGUUUACAUGUUUUGGAAAAGUAAUUACUUGAUGUGAGUGAUGAAACAGACGCUGAAGAAUCGAUUAACCCCUCCCCAUCAGAAGGAAAAAAAAAUGCACAAAAACCUCAUGUUCCACACAGACAUGAACUGAAGGUAGCAGGACCAGUGAUACGUGACAAUUUACAGUUCUCCAGAAACCCAUGGUAAAUUAAAUCCUUCAAGUUAUUGCCAGGCAUCUCAGCUUUGCUUUCCCACUUACUAAGUGGGAUGGUAAGAACUGAAGCAAUUCUUUUUAGGAAGUAGCUCUUUAUGGACAGAAUUAGCAGGAAACAUGUUUUGCAGCCUUUUACCAGCCCCCAGAUGUGCUAGAUGGAGAUAGAUGAUUAUUUUAAAACAAAGGUGAGUAUGAUAAGGAUGGUAGGAACAGUUUGCCAACAAGCAUUGCUAGACAGCAUGCACAAGAGUUAAUAAAAUAAAUUAUACACCACAGUUUCUUUUCAAACAAGCUUUAAAUAGUCCAUAUGUAACAGAAUCGUGUUACAGACAAGAAAUUCUUUCUGCCAAAACACAGGAUGAGUGUUCUUUCCAAAUUACAGACUUAGGAAAAAAUAUUUCAAGAAAUCAGAUUUUAGAAAAUAAAAUUAUGCUACAAAACCAAAAACAAAAAAGGGAUAGUACAAUAGACCAGAGAUGUACAUGAACAAGUCAUCUGAAGAAUGUUAGCAAACAGGUACUUACAAAAAAUGCACAGGAGUGGACAUAAAGGCUUUAAAGACACAGAUCCUAUGCAGGCUAAUUCAAUAUCAAAGAGCAGAAUGCAUAGGCUUUCUUAUAAACUCUGUAGGUCAUGCAUUUGUGUGUGCAGAUAAAAUACACUUAAAGCCAUGUAUUUAAAUGCCUCAAAGAAGACAUCUAAACUCCUUCCCAGCACCAUCAGUUAGCUGCAGGGAAGAACUGAACCCGGGUUUAUUUCUUUUCAUACACUGGCCCAAUCCAAAACCACAAUGUGCAAAAAGAAGUUAAGUGAAAGAGAGAAACCAGGUAUUUCAUCUGAGCUGCUCAAGGACACCGGGAUGAAGAUCCAAACCCAUUUUUUUUUGGUAAUCACAGUCACUGGAAUGUUAUGGCAGCAACACCAGCCCAGACGGUUCUCAGCUGCGCUUCAGAAAGUUGCUCCAAGAAGAGCGAUCCAAGGGUUGAGUGGGGAAAAAACAGAAAUUAACCCUGUAGUACAUACAUACAUACAUACAUAGAUGGCUCUUUUCCGAAUGAAAUAAGGGAGCACUACUGGAUAUGUGGCAAUACGGUGUGUGCAUUAAGAUACACAGGUGAAAUCUGCUUGGGUCACCUUCACUCAGACGGAUAAGUCUUCUUAAAAUAUAAUAAUAAUAAUAAUAAUACUUCUUUAUACUUGCCACUUGUUAGCAAUUGUUUACAUCGUAGAAAAAUAGAUAGUAUUCUGUAACAAGAAAUAUAGUUACUUUGUUAAAAUGGGCUAUUUUAAACCAGCUACUAUUCUUUCAUAUAAAGAAUUUCUAAACAGCAAAACAAAAAUAGGUAAUACUGAGUGCAAAACAGCCAGUGGUAUACUUUGCAUUGGUCUGAAACACUAGUUGCCAGCUACUAUAAUUACACGUUCUGUACAUUGUACUACAAAAGUCUUCAUCUUUUAGAAGCUUUGGGGUUUUUGCUUUUCUUCUCUCUAGGUGGCAAGUAAGUAUUUAAUCCGAGUAAAUUCAAACUCUGGAAGUCAGAAAUAAUUUCACAAUCAGCCUUCGCUACCAUUGUCUCACAUUCCUUCCCCCACUUUGUGCAGCAGCACUUUCUACUUAUGGCCAAAAAUCCCUUAAGUUAAACAAAGUUUAGACUACAGAGACUUAGAAGUUUAGCUUAUAAAUUCACAUUCUUUUCAAAAUCAUUUCACUAAUCUCCCACGUUUACAUUUACACCAAAGAGAAAGCGCAAAAGCCUCACUUUAUGCACUUCAUCAUCCCUGCUGAAGACUGAAAUGCUGUUCAGAUAAAAACGCUUUGCCAACUGUAGGCAUUAAGUCUUAAUGCUACAAAGCCAGAUGGUCCCAAUGUAGAAGUCAGACUUUUCUGCGGUCUCCGCAACAGUUUCAGAUACAAAUAGCUAAUUCCUAGUGGCGGUGGUAAAGGCAUUAUCA